rfam:Medicago truncatula strain A17 chromosome 4, whole genome shotgun sequence.
UAUUGUGCGGUGAUGAUACUUAUGUGGACUAGAGUUUCUGAUCUGGGAAUCUUCACCCAGAAUCUGAUUACAACCCCUUGGCUGUCUGAGCACACAA